CUCUCCUUAUGAUCACACACUCUGAAACCUGAAGGAGUGUGUGUGAUGAUUUCUGAGAC
rfam:Astyanax mexicanus Tnplaced_Scaffold3304, whole genome shotgun sequence.